AGUUCAGAAAACAAAUGAACAAAAGCAGAAACAAAUUAGCCCACAACAAUUAGCCGCUGGAGCUUCGUGGUGCCCAACCCGAGCCAUAUGUACUGUCAGACAUCAAACAUUUCAAAUUAUUUUUAUGUGAUGUGCUGCAGGAGGAUCAUCAGCGAAGGCGACACACUGUGGACCCAACAUUGAGAGAGAUCCUGACGAUCACCUGUAUGAGGAGAUACACAUGCAGUCCCUCCCAGGACAUGCCAUGAUCAGCUCUCCAACAGAACUUGUGCACUAUUCCAGUGUUAGCUUCCAGCAUGACUCAAGCAGCAUCUCAAUGGUGCAUAACUCCAACCUUGAGCCUCAAGAAAAUAGCUCCUCCUCCUCUGUCCGUGACAUUCACCUGAGCAACACUCCAGUGGCAAAUACUAUCUACUCCACUGUAACAAAACCCAGAGGGCCAUGACAUCACCAGCCUUGCAAUUUGUCAUACAAUACCUUUAACUUGUGUUGGUCUUAAAAACACCCAAUAAGUUUUUGUUUUUCAGAGAGCACAUGGCCUUGCGGUGAGAACAUCUAACUGACAGUUGUUCUGCUCUGGGUUUGAAUGUCACUUCUUCCAGUCGUGCAGUUUACACAUUUCCCUGUACUUUUGUGGUACCUCUGGCUCCCACACACUUUCUGAAAACAUGCAGGUCCAUGUUAGGUUCGGUGAAAAUUCACAUCAUUCUAUGUGGCCCGCGAAAAACGGUUCAUGUUUCUUGCUGAAAUACCAACAUUGCUCAUUAUCUUCACUUUUAAAAAUGUUGAGAUAUUGCAAGCAUUUGUUUCAAAUUCUCAUUUUAAAAUAAACGUAAUACGAUUUUUAACAGUU